CCAUAGGUUGAGGAGGCGGUGACCGUGGCAGUGGAGGAAGAGGAUGAGGUAGGCAACACUGUUUAUAUAAAUAUAUAUAUAUAUAUAUAUAUAUAUUAAUUGGGGUAGCCCCCAAAAUAUUGGGACAUAUAAAAAAAGACAACUCUGUUCCAUGGAGUAGCUGUUGACAUUAUAGUUGCGCAGGAGCUUUGUUGACUCUAGAGAACCUCGGGCAAAUCGCACAUCCCCACGGCGAUGUCAUCCAUAUCAACAUUCAAUGCCAGAUUCUGCGCCUACCAUGGUGACCACGGGUAACGGGGAAUCAGAGUUCCAUUCCAUACAGGGACCCUGAGAAACAGCUACCACAUGCAAUGAAGGCAGCAGGUGCGCAAAUGACCCAUUCCCGACGUGGGAAGGUAGUGACGUCAAAUAACAUUACAGGACUCUCUAGAAGCCCUGUAAUUGUAAUGAGUCCACUUGAAAUCCUUUAACGCUGAUCAAUUGGAGGGAAGUCUGGUGCAGAGCCACUGACCUGUG